AACGAACGCUGGCGGCAGGCUUAACACAUGCAAGUCGAACGCUCGACCUUCGGGUCGGGAGUGGCAGACGGGUGAGUAACGCGUGGGAACGUACCCUUCGGUUCGGAAUAACCCAGGGAAACUUGGGCUAAUACCGGAUACGUCCUGGCCUGGAGACAGGGUGGGAGAAAGGUUUACUGCCGAAGGAUCGGCCCGCGUCGGAUUAGCUAGUUGGUGGGGUAACGGCCCACCAAGGCGACGAUCCGUAGCUGGUCUGAGAGGAUGAUCAGCCACACUGGGACUGAGACACGGCCCAGACUCCUACGGGAGGCAGCAGUGGGGAAUAUUGGACAAUGGGCGAAAGCCUGAUCCAGCCAUGCCGCGUGAGUGAAGAAGGCCUUAGGGUUGUAAAGCUCUUUCAGCGGGGACGAUAAUGACGGUACCCGCAGAAGAAGUCCCGGCUAACUUCGUGCCAGCCGCCGCAGUAAG
rnacentral:rRNA from 1 species